AUAUUGGACAAUGGGCGAAAGCCUGAUCCAGCCAUGCCGCGUGUGUGAAGGAGGCCUUCGGGUUGUAAAGCACUUUUGUACGGGCAGAAAAGCAACCGGUUAAUACCCGGUUGUUCUGACGGUACCGUAAGAAUAAGCACCGGCUAACUUCGUGCCAGCAGCCGCGGUAAUACGAAGGGUGCAAGCGUUACUCGGAAUUACUGGGCGUAAAGCGUGCGUAGGUGGUCUGUUAAGUCUGAUGUGAAAGCCCUGGGCUCAACCUGGGAAUGGCAUUGGAUACUGGAAGUCUAGAGUGUGGGAGAGGGUAGUGGAAUUCCCGGUGUAGCAGUGAAAUGCGUAGAUAUCGGGAGGAACAUCCGUGGCGAAGGCGACUACCUGGACCAACACUGACACUGAGGCACGAAAGCGUGGGGAGCAAACAGG
rnacentral:rRNA from 1 species